AAAUGAAUAGACGGGGACCUGCACAAGUGGUGGAGCAUGCGGUUUAAUUCGAUACUAAGCGGGGAACCUUACCAAGGCUUGACAUAUAGCUGCAUACACCUAGAAAUAGGGUAGCCUUCGAGGGUGCUAUACAGGUGCUGCACGGUUGUCGUCAGCUCGUGCCGUGAGGUGUUCACUUAAGUGUGAAAACGAGCGCAACCCCUAUCGUUUGUUACAAGUGUCAAACGAAACUGCCGGCGUCUAAGCUGGAGGAAGGUGGGGAUGACGUCAAAUCAGCGUGGCUCUUACGCCUUGGGCGACACGCGUGCUACAAUGGGUAGGAACAAAGGGACGCCAAGGAGCGAUCCGGAGCAAAUCCUAAAAAAACUACCCUCAGUUCGGAUUGAAGGCUGAAACUCGCCUUCAUGAAGCCGGAAUCACUAGUAACCGUAGAUCAGCCUCGCUACGGUGAAUACGUUCUCAGGUUUUGUACACACCGCCCGU
rnacentral:rRNA from 1 species